UACGGAGGGUGCAAGCGUUAUCCGGAUUUACUGGGUUUAAAGGGUGCGUAGGUGGGCAGGAAAGUCAGUGGUGAAAUCUCCGGGCUCAACCCGGAAACUGCCAUUGAUACUAUUAGUCUUGAAUAUUGUUGAGGUGGGCGGAACGGGUCAUGUAGCGGUGAAAUGCAUAGAUAUGACCCGGAACACCGAUUGCGAAGGCAGCCCACUAAGCAAUGAUUGACGCUGAGGCACGAAAGCGUGGGGAUCAAACAGG
rnacentral:rRNA from 1 species